GGCAGAGCCGGGAAGUGAACUUAUACCUUUAACCCUAAUGCUAGGGAGUCCUGUGGUGCGAGAAAUCUCUGGGCAUUUUAGGGCUGCAGACAGAGAAUGGCCGUGUCAGCCUUUGUGCCUCAAAUCAUAGUGAAUAUUAUGGGAACUCUAGUUUGACCAUCUCCUCUCUCUCAGUCUUUUUUCUAGCCCACCUCUACUUGACAAAUUAUUUUUUGAACUCCUUUUUUAAAGCACAGUGUUGAGCGAAAUGCCAGUGUUGCCAACUUGGGGGCCAUGCAAACAGCAGCCCCACCAUCCAGUACUGGAAAUCAGAAACCAUGGCAUGAAGAUAUUACUCAGGCCCUCUGAAAUCACCUUGUUCAUAAACUUGUCCAAGCUGUAUUUUCUACUCCUGAUCCUGCAGCUUUGAAAGACAGGUGGAUGGAAGACUUGGUUGCAUAUGCUCAAAAGAUAGAAGAUGACACAUACAAAUCAACAAAUAGCCGAGUAAGUAUCUGCUCUCCACAUACAGACUUCACUCUUUCUGUGGUCAUAUUAAGCCUGAUUGAGCCUGAUUGUCUGAUAUGAUGGCUUAUGGUAGUAAAUCCAGCUGGGUAAAUAUGAUUGAAUGAAUGAAUUACAGUUGUGAUAUACGAUCUUUUUCACUGGAAAAAGCUAGAACUAUGCUCCAUGGGAGAGGGUAGUUUAGCUGAAAUAUUUCAUUCCUGUAACCGUUAAAAAUGCUGAAAAGAAAUGUUAAAGCAGAUACCUUGUAGCAGUGUAAUACUUUUUAACCCAACAUGUGUUUAAAGAAAUGGAGAGACCACUGACAAGCUAACAGGCCAAAGUCUCAUCUCCCUCUCCUCCUUGCCAGCAAAUCUACUCAGAUGAAGCCAAUGAGUAAAUUCAUCUCCACGUAAAAUGCAAAUUGGCAACUUUAUGGUGUUUCCAGUGACAAUGUAUGGAUCCGAAAGCCAGACAAUGAAAAAGCAGGAUAGAAAGAACAUCGAUUCUUUUGAAAUGUGGUGGUGGAGAAGGCUUUUGCGAAUACCGUGGACUGUCUGAAAAAAAACCAAAUAGAUUUUGGAGCAAAUUAAACCAAAGUGAUCCUUGGAAGGCCAAAUUAGAUUAGCAUAUUUUGGAAACAUAAUGAGGAGAACUAAUUCUCUGAUGAAGACACUAAUGCUAGGAAAAGUCCAGGGAAACUGUGGAAGAGGCAGACCAGCAGCUAGAUGGAUAGAGACUAAAAUAAGGAUAACGGAAGAACCAUGAGAAAGUUUGCAGAUUAUGGCAGAGGACAAGAU
rnacentral:lncRNA from 1 species